rnacentral:rRNA from 1 species
AUGCCGGCCUCCGGCGAGGGUGGCACCACCUCCGACCCCCCUCUGGUUGACAGCUAUCGCACGCUGCUCCGCAAAGGAGGUGGCGACGGCUUUGUGCCGGCGCUGGCGGCCGAGAGCCUGGCCGUGCUGGAGUGCGACCUGCCGAUGAUCGACUUGGAGCGCCUGAUGAUGGGCGACGCUAGGGAGAGGGGCGUGUGUAUGGACGCCAUGGCGAGCGCGGCGUCGGAGUGGGGCUUCUUCCAGGUGAUCAACCACGGCGUGGGGCAGGAGCUCCUGGAGGAGAUGAGGCGGGAGCAGGCGCGGCUAUUUCACCAGCCGUUCAAUAUCAAGGAGAAGGCCGGACUCCUCAACGGGUCGUACCGGUGGGGGACCCCGACGGCGACGUCGCUCCGGCAGCUCUCGUGGUCGGAGGCCUUCCACGUUCCGCUCGCAAGCAUCUCUGGGGAAGACGACUGCGGGCAUGCAGAGCUCAGCUCCCUGAGGGGAGUGAUGCAGGAGGUGGCGGCCGCGAUGUCGCGGGUGGCGGACACGGUGGCCGGGACGCUGGCGAAGAACCUCGGGCACGAGUCGACGUUCCCGGCGGCGGCGGGGUGCGACGGGACGACGUGCUUCCUGCGGCUGAACAGGUACCCGGCGUGCCCGUUCGCGGCGGACACGCUCGGCAUGGUGCCGCACACGGACAGCGACUUCCUCACCGUCCUUUGCCAGGACCAGGUUGGGGGCCUGGAGAUCAUGAAGGACUCCCACUGGGUCGCUGUGAAACCCCACGCCCACGCGCUCAUGGUCAACGUCGGCGAUUUGUUCCAGGCGUGGAGCAACAACAGAUACAAGAGCGUGGAGCACAGGGUGGUGGCCAACUCCAAGGCGGAGCGCUUCUCCGUCGCCUACUUCAUGUGCCCGCCGUGUGACUCGCCCGUCGGCACAUGCGCCGAGCCGUCGCCGUACAAGCCGUUUACCUUCGGGGAGUACAGGCGCAAGGUGCAGGAAGAUGUCACGCGAACGGGGAAGAAGAUUGGUCUGUCCAACUUUCUCAAAGGUUCUACCUUUGACGGCCUGGCUGAAUGA